AGUCGAGGGGCAGCACGAAUUAGCUUGCUAAUUUGGUGGCGACCGGCGCACGGGUGCGUAACGCGUAUGCAACCUACCUUAUACAGGAGUAUAGCCCGGAGAAAUUCGGAUUAAUCCUCCAUGGUACUGAGACACCGCAUGGUGCUUCAGUUAAAGCUUCGGCGGUAUAAGAUGGGCAUGCGUCCUAUUAGCUAGAUGGUAAGGUAACGGCUUACCAUGGCUACGAUAGGUAGGGGGCCUGAGAGGGUGGUCCCCCACACUGGUACUGAGACACGGACCAGACUCCUACGGGAGGCAGCAGUGAGGAAUAUUGGUCAAUGGGCGCAAGCCUGAACCAGCCAUGCCGCGUGCAGGAAGAAUGCCCUAUGGGUUGUAAACUGCUUUUAUUUGGGAAUAAACCUUUCUACGUGUAGGAAGCUGAAGGUACCAAAUGAAUAAGCACCGGCUAACUCCGUGCCAGCAGCCGCGGUAAUACGGAGGGUGCAAGCGUUAUCCGGAAUCAUUGGGUUUAAAGGGUCCGCAGGCGGAUUUAUAAGUCAGUGGUGAAGGCCUACAGCUUAACUGUAGAACUGCCAUUGAAACUGUAAGUCUUGAAUUCGGUCGAAGUGGGCGGAAUGUGUAGUGUAGCGGUGAAAUGCAUAGAUAUUACACAGAACACCGAUAGCGAAGGCAGCUCACUAGGCCUGGAUUGACGCUCAGGGACGAAAGCGUGGGGAUCAAACAGGAUUAGAUACCCUGGUAGUCCACGCUGUAAACGAUGAUUACUCGUUUUCGGCGAUAUACAGUCGGAGACUAAGCGAAAGUGAUAAGUAAUCUACCUGGGGAGUAC
rnacentral:rRNA from 1 species